UCAGCAGCCUGGUUAUAGAUGUGCAGAAGUCAUGAAGUUAGUUUGCUACAGAAGUGUAAUAAAGGACUGGGAGAAAAAAGUCGGGGGAGCUGAAGAUGCUGGAGAUUUCAAUGAAGUCAAAAAACAAUGAGCAUGAAGGUGAAUGCUUGGGAAAGCUCGAGAUCAGGAUUUUGUUCAGUGACUGGCAGGGCAAUUAUACAGAACUUUGUCUAUUUCUUCCUGCUGGAAAUGGGUAAAAAUGAUGAAUAAAAUAUAAUUUCUGAAAAAUCUCAUUUAAGCAAGAGGGUGAAGCAUAACUAAGAAGAACAGCAAAAAUGCUGUGCAUGGUGGUGCACACCUGUAAUCCCAGUGGCUCAGGAAGAUGAGACAGGAGUAUCUCAAGUUCAAAGCCAGCCUCUGCAACAGCGAGGACGAAGUCUUCUUGUUGAUUGCUCAUAGCUGUCCAGGUGGUAUCUCCCAGGCUGCUUCCUGUUUAUAGUUUUUGGCUGCUACAUUCCAAAUAGAAAAGAACACAAGUUGAAGCUUUAUGAAAAAAAAAAUUGAGAUUUUGCUGAACAUUAACACGUUGCUACUUCAAUUCCAAGAAAAAGAAACAAGUAAAGUGAAUGUCAUGUUAUGAUUUUUUCAGUGGUUUCUCCAUAAAAGCAAAUAAUGAAAAAAUGUUGAGCUAUGAUGUGAAACCUAAUUCUCUAGCCUCUUAUAAAAAAAAAUGAAAAGAAGAUGUGGUACUUGCAAGUGAUGGUGGUGAAGUACUGAAUCCCAAAUAAGGAUCUGGAUAUUUUUUCUCCAGCAAUGUGGAUGAAUCUAUCUAGGAAAUAAAAACCUGUGUGUCCUAUCAAAACAUUAUCAGAUUAACUCAGGUCAAAUUAGAAUCCAUCAGUUAGGCCCACUGGGCUUAUAAGCAUUCCAGCAAUGUACUAUUGAUCAUUCUUGGAAUCAUGAGGAUUUAGAGUCUGAUUCACUCACAUAAACCAGAAUGUUCUACACAUGAAUCUACUGUGGAUUGGCAAAAGCAAAAACCUUCAGGAUCUUUUGCUGAAAGAUAACCAAUGUUUCAUAAGGAGAUUCCUAAGUAUUAUAGGAUGAUCUACUCUAUGUCAAAUAUUAUUGCACUAUUUCUAGUUAAUGGUCUGAAGCAUUCUAGAGAGGAAGACUGCUGUGGUGAGAGAGAUCAUCUUCAAAAAUGUGAAGUAAACUGAAGUCUAACUAGAAAUUUCUCAUUCUCUAAUUUUGAGUUUAAUUUCACAUGUUUGAAGUCACAUGGCUAAUGACUUGAACAUUUACAUCUCCAAUGCUGAUUUCACAUAGCUAGAGAUGAAUUUCUAAAGAGAAGGUAAAAAUUUAGCUACAUAAACCUCUAACUUGGAAAAAUUUCUAAGCUCAAAAUUAGUUCCAGGAAGUUAGCAAACAAGUAUUUCAAGAUAAAUGACUAUCUGCCUUUUUCAAAUAUUUCUUGGGAAUUAUGAAAACUAAACAGUAAUAUACUUUAAAACUUAAAUUAUCUAAAAAGCAAAGGAUUCUGGAAUAGUGAAAAUUUUUUUAAAAAAAUUUUUGACUUGGAAUUGUAGGUUUAGUUUUUUGAAAAAUCCACUGAAUUUUACUAUGGGAAUUAGAAAUGUUCUUUUAAAAAAAUCAGUAAUUUAAUCCAAACAAGAUAUUGCUUUUCCAAUUUCCAUCAAUUGGUGUCCCAAUAGACCAUCAAACUAUCAAAUAGUACAAUGCUAGGCUUCAUACAAAUAAAUACACAGUUUAAAAAAUCACUGAGCAAAUUGAGAGUAAAAUACUAGCAGUGAUUACAUCACAUAGAAAAUACUAAACAUAUUUAACUUAGAAAAGAGAGUAUGUGUGUGUUGAUGAAAUUUUAUUCCAGUUUUGCUCUUCCUUUCCACAGCCCUCGCAGAUAGCUCUAGAAGUGCGUUACAUGAGAUGUUGCAGAAAGUCAUUAUUCUUUAGAAUACAUAUAUUUGCCCUACACAACAGGUCUCCACCUAUGUGUAAAAUGCACUGUCUUCUGGUGUCACUAAUUCUAUCGUAGCAUUGCCCUCAGAGGUUCAAAAGGAAUGACUUCACGAAACUGAGGAGAGGGUGGGAAGAGGAGAUGUGUUGACAGAGAUUUGAGCUGGAGUCCCAUAGAUGUAAUUUGAAGAGGCUCUGGCUCUAGAAUGUCACUAACUCUCCAUGGAGAUUCUACAGCCAAAACCACUUAGCUCUAAGCUUUUACAGAAUACAUAGAAUGUUAAGCGCGCUCAAGAAGGAGUUUCCAUUAGUGUUAUUUUCAAACACAAAGAUUUUUUUUCUCUCCAUUUAAAAAAGCUGGUCGUUUGUGGUUUGGCGCAUCAGCAGUGAUGAAUGAUCCUGAAAGACAUCAGAAGUCCGGUCUGGUUUCAAUAACCCCGAAGAUAUUGGAUGCAUCUGAAGAGGAUUCUAUUUUCCUUCCAAAAACCUAUCUCAGUUCAAUUUUUCUCCUAUUCUUCAUCUCAUACAAAAAAAAUAUUACUCAAAUUUCCCUAAUUUCAUGAACUCAACCUUCUACCUCCCCUUUAUUGAGGUCAUCUCACUUUGCUUAUCCCCACAUCUCUGAAAGAUGAUCUAAUGGGUUCUUUGGUAGACUAAGCUCAUCCAAAGUGUGAUGAGGCUUGUUCUAAUCAAAUAUUUGACUUUCCUGAUGCCUAAAACUACAGUCACUCUGUAAUGUAUUCUUGUUCCUAUGUCUAUAUCCACCCAAUGGCAAACAUGCAUUGUUACUACAGCACAGGUAAGCAUGGUUUUAGUUCCUUCUUAGACAAAAAUCAUACCUGCCCAAUAAAACUACUUGAAAGAAAGCAAAAAAUAAAUAACUCCAGAAAAGUAGAAAAAAAAAACAAUAAGGCUAAAUAUAGCCAAGUGCUGCCUUAACUAUUUUUAGCAACUUAAAACAUGAUACGAAAGAAAAUUUAAUAUAGAUUAACUUUCUUGUAAAGGCUUUCCAAGUUCUCCAGUCAGAAGACAGCAAGUACAUUUUUGUUGGGCCACAUAAAUGGUAAAUAUAUUCAUAUUUUUCCAAUCAUUACACAAGUAACUAAUAUUAACUGAUAACAUGACUCAUUUUGGAAUAAAAUCUCUCCACUUUACUGUUAUGAAAUAUACAUAUAACUUUUAAAAAUUUCUUCAGAAUUUUUCAGACACACCCUUCAAGAAAGUGAUAUAAUCCAGUCCCACUGAUUUCAAUAUUCUCUAAUGGCUAAUGAUUUGUACAUUUACAUCUUCAGUGCUGAUGCCUCUUUCUAGAUGUCUGUGUCUCAAAAUCAUGUAUAAAACACACCUUUUGAUUUCACCUCACUACUUUAAACCUUGCCAAUGACUUCUUUUUGCAUGCUACUAAACUCCAAAUUCUUCUGGUGUACAGGACUCAGUCAUUGUUAUUACUUUGUCUCACUUUUCCUUCUUCACGAGGCUCCAAUCAUAGUGUAUCUUUGUCUCCUGAAAAUAAGUCGAAAUAAUUCCCACCUCAAGAUCUUCGUACAUGCCUGUUCUCCUGACUGAAGUGUUCCUUUUGUUUACCAAUAUCCCAUUGUAGGACAGGUACCUAUAGGUCUCACAGGUAUCAACUCAAAUGAUGGCUCUUCAGAGAAGCCCUUUUAUAAAUGACCACCCAGUUUUGAGUAUCCCAUUCGUGUAAUGUUCUUUUAUUUUCUUCACACAGUGCAUUUAUAUAAUGUUUUAAACUUGUUAUUUGACUCUAAGACAGCAAACUCUGGGAAAGUAAAGAUCUCAGGUGCCUCUCAGGUGCCUUGUUAAUAGCCACAUCUUUAGGUCCUGGCACAAAGCACAGGGCAGCCAAUAAGUCUGUAAAACCAGGCAAAUACAUUAUAAAUGGUUUAUUUGUAUUGCAUGUAAUACAUGUCAAAUUAAUAUUGAGGGUUUACAGACUUUAUGUAAAACUGAGUAAAUAUAUGUGUCAAGGAUGAAUGAACUAACCAGUCUACAAGUCAUAGAUUCAGGUUUUAAUUCUGACCCCACCCCUUGCUAAUCUUAUGACUUUGUUCAAGCUACACAACUGUGCAAAUUCAAUAUGUGCAGAAGAAAGUAGCAAUGUAUUGUAAUAUAUUAAGUAGAUAAAACUACAUAAUGGAUCAGAAAGCAUAUUUUAAAUUAAAAAGUAUACUAUAACUAAAAGAAAUAAGAAUGUGGUAUAGGCUUAUUUUAUAUUGUUUUUAUAUAAAGCUUGGAUCAAAUACCCUCUUAAUUUCCUUUUGAGUUGAACACAUGUUGCCCCUCUUGGGAUAAUUAUUUCAUCAUAUAUAAAGACAAGCUUUAUAGCCUCAUACAUUUGUUUAUUGAUUUUAUACUUGGGAGGUAUUUUUUUAAUAUAGAAGCAGGUAGAAUUUUUUCUUCAUAGAGAUUAAAAAUAAAGCUUACAACUUUUCUAAUUGCAUCCCCAUUAAACCAUCCAUUCUGUCAAGAACAUUCACAGCUUCUGCAGUGAGAAAAGCACUUACCACUGUGGUAUGUUUCUUACAGGACUCAAAAGGCAAAGAACCUUCGCCGGUCCGCCAGCUGUCGUCACCAAUCUCAUCACUCAAGAGAAACUCAUUCAGCUUUUGAACACUGCAAAAAGCAAACAAACAGAACAAGGAUUAGCAGUAAAACUCCCACCAACAAAAAUACCUAAACAAACAAACCUUCCUCUCACUCAGUACCAUGGUGAACAGGCUCUCUAAAUCAUUUCUCAAGACCAUCUGGAAAUUCAGCUAGAUUGACCAAAUGUUCUAAAUUGCCCAGGACUGACCGGUUUUUAGGACAAGACAUUCAAUGCCAAUAUCAGAAAAAUCUCAGGAAAAACAAGAACCUUGAUCAUCCUAAAUUUAAUAGAACUUCUUUCUUUCUUUUUAUUGUUGUUGUCAUUUGUAACUAUAUUUUCUGUCAAAACUAGUGGGGCCAAAAAGGAAGGUGGAAUAGGGUGAUUAAAAACAAUACCACCAAUAAGGAAAAUAUUCUUAUAAUUCUAAUUUUACACAUGAGAGGAAUUAAGCAUAAAGCAGUUAAGUAACCUACUUAAAAAUCACUUAGGGUCCCUGACCACUGAGGAAUCCGGCUUAAGCACUAUUUUAUACAUAUUUUCUAAACCUGGCAAUGAGAGGGCCUUUUACAGUCUUUUUACUCGAAGCAUUGGCCAAGGACCUGCAGAAACAACAUCACCAGGGAACUUAUUAGAAACAGAAUCUCAUGUCCCUCUCCAACAUGUGAAUCAAAAUAUGCAUUUUAAUAAUAUUCAGAGGUGCUUCAUAAGUACAUUUACAGUUUGAAAGGCCCUGUUCUAGAAACAUUUUGCAAACAAUUUGCAAACAUUCUUUUCUGCGGUCUCCUUAAACCAGGCAUAAGACUCACUUACCCUUUUCACUGUAAUUUACUCAAACAAUAUCAUAAGAUCAGGAACAAAAAUAAGUAACAAUAGAAACAAUAGCAUGAUUUGAAAACAUCCUCCUAUAAGUGAAUAUUAUACUAAAGAAAAGAACUUUAAGUCCUAUGAAGUUGCAAAGGAAAAGAAAUGCUCUUCCAGCCUGUUUGCUAACUGAAAGUGAACAAACUCACUGGUAGGCACAGCAUCAACUACAAGGGAAGUGUUGCCUUCAUAGGAAACUAGAAAAUAUAUAUUCAAAAUAAAAGGUUCACUUAUUUAUGGUUUUUAAAAUUUCACUUGAGCUUGUAGUCAAGUUCACUGCCUCCAGAUAGGUCUGCCAAGUUUGCCUUUGUGACAUGAUAAUAAAAUAAAUUAAGUUUAAUUCAGUCUGCUAACCAUGAUCUUCAAGUGCCUUGACUUUGUAUAUCAUAGAAACAUAAAGAUAGAUAACAUCCAUUGAGCCAGUCUAAUCACUAGCUUCCAAACUGUACUUUCAGGGAAUUAAGAGAGAUGAUUAAGGAAAACUUUGAUUUGCAUAAUCUCUUUGAGUCUUUGUUAGGAAAGUCUGGCCAUAUAGACUGGAAAGAUUCAGCAUUAGAAAUGCUUUAUGAAAUAGCAUUUUAUUUGUCUUAAAUGGCAGAAAUCCCUUCUGUACUUUUAUAGGUUUUAGUUGUCAUUCUGUUCUAAUGGUUUGAAGAUAUUUGGUUUUAAGGAGCACAGAUUUGUCAAUCAUGGCUGUAAACAACCUUGCACUAUUCCCCUGAACAGAAAGAGAAGUGAGGAGGCCAAAUUCAUGUGCCACUGUAUCUUCAAGUCUAGCAGCAUUUGGCACACAUUUCUCCAUGAAUGCUUGUUCAAUGAAUCAAAGAAGAAAUAAACUAAUGAUUCAGACAGUAAAACUGGUUGAUUCAAUUCUUCAGUUCACUUUUUGGG